AUACUUACCUGGCAGGGGAGAUACCAUGAUCAUGAAGGCUGUUUCCCAGGGCGAGCCUUAUCCAUUACACUCCAGAUGUGCUGACCCCUGAGAUUUUUCCAAAUGUGGGAAGCUCAACUGUAUAAUUGUGGUAGUGGAAGACUGCAUUUGUGCUCUCCCCUA
rnacentral:snRNA from 1 species